UACAGAGGGUGCAAGCGUUGUUCGGAAUUAUUGGGCGUAAAGGGCGCGUAGGCGGUGCGGUAAGUCUGUAGUGAAAUCUCUGGGCUCAACUCAGAGUCUGCUGCAGAAACUGCCGUGCUUGAGUGUGGGAGAGGUGAGUGGAAUUCCCGGUGUAGCGGUGAAAUGCGCAGAUAUCGGGAAGAACACCCGUGGCGAAGGCGGCUCUCUGGGACGGUACUGACGCUGAGACGCGAAAGCGUGGGGAGCGAACAGG
rnacentral:rRNA from 1 species